UAUGUGGCUGUGGGGAGCUGGAUGUUUCACUCCUGUUAUGACGUACUGUCUUUCAUGCAGAAAACGAGGACAGAUACUCGAUCCAAAGCUUUGGUGGUAUGUAGGACAGGUCAUAGAUGAAGGGGCCAAUUCCUUCAGGCUGAUUCUAAACAGGUUACAGAUAAAGAGAUCUUCAGACAGUAUUUUUUGGAUAUUUCGCAACGUAAGACAAACUGUGACUGCUUUUGAUUGCUAUGCCAGUGGUGUUAAUGAGAAACAGGCUGCUAUAGUUAGAUUUGAUUGGCCCACACCUGGGAGCAAUUACUUGAUGCUCAGUACAGGAAAUACAAACAAUACCGUGGUUGCAGCUUGGAGGUGCGUUCCAGGAGCGGUGCGUCUGCAGCAGUGCAGCGA